rnacentral:lncRNA from 1 species
UUUUUGUGUUUGACAAGACCUUCGAACUUGUGCCUACGUACCAACAUAAAAAUGAGGGAUCAAAACCUCGUAGUUUGUGGUAUCAAUUUCAAAGUGAGUGAGUUGCUUUUAACAAAAUUUAAGUUUGAAAGAGGCACAAAAGGACUAAAAAAAGUUUGGAUGGGUGUUAGUUCUUUUUGUCUUUUGAAAGUUUAAGUCAAGUAUAAUUGAGUUCAUUUACAAGUUGAUUAAGAAAAGAGUUUAAAAAUUCAAUGGCAUAAGGCCAAGGUUUCUAAUUUGCAAUAUGGUCUAAGUUUAGAAAACAAACACAAGCAAAGCAGAUUUUAAAAGGAGGGAGAGAUUUGAAAUUAAAGAAAUGGGGAGGAGAUGGAGAGACUAUGCCUUUUGUGUCACAAAUUUAGCGAUAUGUUAAGCAAUCGUAAUUGGACUUAUGUAAAAGUCACAACUAUUUGAGACCGGGCAAUAGAAUUUUUGUGUUAAUGCAUGUUAGAGACAUAGUAUAAUGAACUAUGCUCAUGAAACAUACCACACACGAAAAGAAUAUGCAAAAUGGGGGACCUAAUCUCAUCCAUACUGAUGUUGAUUUUGCAAUCAACGAGUUUUAGGAUAUAGAGAUGUCAUUGGUCCAUGACAUGAAUGAAUGAAGAAGAGGGAAUAAGAUGAAGAUGGAGGGGGAAUGGAUUCAACACAAAUUGGUCAAAGGAGGACUUUUACCAAAUUAAGAUCAUUCAUUCAUUUUGGGAGAUGGAAUGUACAUUCCAUCAAUCCCCUAAAUCCACUGAUCUUAACCUAACAAAGUCAAAUCAACCUUGACCAAGGCCCAACAACACAAGUCAAACUCAACAAGUCAAUUAAAAUGGCUCUACACAAUUAAUUUG